UAUACUUAUAAGUUCUUUAUUCCUCCUCCAUAGUUUAUAUAUUUUUCGAUUUGAUCUCUUUUCAGUGAUCGUUUUAUUACUCAGUCACCUCCGUUCACUCGGUGGAUUGUAUCACACGCUUGCAAGAUUUGUUUACUAUCAUUGCCUAGCAACAUCGUACUCACCCGCGUCAUCACGCCGGUCACGUGGUGUACACUGUCUCACUUCCGGGUUCGG